GACGAACGCUGGCGGCGUGCUUAACACAUGCAAGUCGAACGGAAAGGCCCCCCACGUUUUUUGGUGGAGGUGCUCGAGUGGCGAACGGGUGAGUAACACGUGGGUGAUCUGCCCUGUACUUCGGGAUAAGCUUGGGGAAACUGGGGUCUAAUACCGGAUAGGACCAUGGUUUAGUGUCUCAUGGUGGAAAAAAUAUUGUCUUGGUGCAGGAUGAGCUCGCGGCCUAUCAGCUUGUUGGUGGGGUAAUGGCCUACCAAGGCGUCGACGGGUAGCCGGCCUGAGAGGGUGGACGGCCACAUUGGGACUGAGAUACGGCCCAGACUCCUACGGGAGGCAGCAGUGGGGAAUAUUGCACAAUGGGCGCAAGCCUGAUGCAGCGACGCCGCGUGGGGGAUGACGGCCUUCGGGUUGUAAACUCCUUUCGUUAGGGACGAAGCCAUACUUUUUGGGUGUGGUGACGGUACCUUUGUUAAGAAGCACCGGCUAACUACGUG
rnacentral:rRNA from 1 species